AUUGAACGCUGGCGGCAGGCCUAACACAUGCAAGUCGAGCGGAUGAAGGGAGCUUGCUCCUGGAUUCAGCGGCGGACGGGUGAGUAAUGCCUAGGAAUCUGCCUGGUAGUGGGGGAUAACGUCCGGAAACGGGCGCUAAUACCGCAUACGUCCUGAGGGAGAAAGUGGGGGAUCUUCGGACCUCACGCUAUCAGAUGAGCCUAGGUCGGAUUAGCUAGUUGGUGGGGUAAAGGCCUACCGAGGCGACGAUCCGUAACUGGUCUGAGAGGAUGAUCAGUCACACUGGAACUGAGACACGGUCCAGACUCCUACGGGAGGCAGCAGUGGGGAAUAUUGGACAAUGGGCGAAAGCCUGAUCCAGCCAUGCCGCGUGUGUGAAGAAGGUCUUCGGAUUGUAAAGCACUUUAAGUUGGGAGGAAGGGCAGUAAGUUAAUACCUUGCUGUUUUGACGUUACCAACAGAAUAAGCACCGGCUAACUUCGU
rnacentral:rRNA from 1 species